CGGCGGACGGGUGAGUAACGCGUGGGUAACCUGCCUCAUACAGGGGGAUAACAGUUAGAAAUGGCUGCUAAUACCGCAUAAGACCACGGUACUGCAUGGUACAGUGGUAAAAACUCCGGUGGUAUGAGAUGGCCCCGCGUCUGAUUAGGUAGUUGGUGAGGUAACGGCCCACCAAGCCGACGAUCAGUAGCCGACCUGAGAGGGUGACCGGCCACAUUGGGACUGAGACACGGCCCAG
rnacentral:rRNA from 1 species